rnacentral:rRNA from 1 species
CGCUGGCGGUGUGCUUCACACAUGCAAGUCGAACGAGGUAGCAAUACCUAGUGGCGGACGGGUGAGUAACGCGUGGGAAUCUGCCUUUAGAUGGGGGAUAACGGGUCGAAAGACUCGCUAAUACCGCAUAUGACGAAAGUUAAAAGGAGUAAUCCGUCUAAAGAUGAGCCCGCGUCCGAUUAGCUAGUUGGUAGAGUAAAAGCCUACCAAGGCGACGAUCGGUAGCUGGUCUGAGAGGAUGAUCAGCCACAAUGGGACUGAGACACGGCCCAUACUCCUACGGGAGGCAGCAGUGGGGAAUUUUACGCAAUGGGCGAAAGCCUGACGUAGCGACACCGCGUGAGCGAAGAAGCCCCUUGGGGUGUAAAGCUCUGUCAGCUGGAACGAAAAAAAUGACGGUACCAGCAGAGGAAGCAUCGGCUAACUACGUG